AUGCAUUUUAAAUGCAUUCGUUCAAAUUGAACACAUUUCCGUUUUUCAUUUAAAUUAUUUUUUUCAAAACCUAAACCUGCUUGCACACCAUCAAAAAUAUCAUGGAAUGAAGAAAUAACAAAAAGAUAUAUUAAUUUCAUGCAAGCCACGGUUGCUGACAGACCUACUGUCAGUAAUUUUCAGGAAUCCCCUCCUCAAACAAGGAACCCUGCUAAAAAUCAAAAUGAUUUGCAAAAGCUUAUGAGUGUAUUGGAAAAAAAAUCUUCUAGUAUCCACCUGGUUGAUGUAUUGGAAGGUUACAAUUCUGAUGAAGACUAUUUUUUCAAGACAGGUUUUAAAAACAAUGCAAAUUAUCAAGAUUAAUAGAAGAAAUACAGAAACAUCUGAAACAGCUU